AUUGAACGCUGGCGGCGUGCCUAAUACAUGCAAGUCGAACGCAGUGGGGACGGGUGAGUAACACGUGGGUAACCUCCCAUCAGAGGGGAUAACACUUGGAAACAGGUGCUAAACCGAUACUGAUGGAUGGACCCGCGGUGCAUUCGCUAGUUGGUGAGGUAACGGCUCACCAAGGUCACGAUGCAUAGCAGACCUGUGAGAGUGAUCGGCCGCACUAGGGCUGAGACACGGCCCAGAGUCCUACGAGAGGCAGCGAUAGGGAAUCGGCGGCAAUGGACGAAAGUCUGACCGGGCAACGCGGCGUGAGUGAAGAAGGUUUUCGGAUCGUGAAACUCUGUUGUUAGAGAAGCGGUAUCUAACCAGAAAGCCACGGCUAACUACGUGCCAGCAGCCGCGGUGAUAC
rnacentral:rRNA from 1 species